rnacentral:rRNA from 1 species
AAUUCGUGGUGUAGCGNUGAAAUGCUUAGAUAUCACGAAGAACUCCGAUUGCGAAGGCAGCUUGCUGGACUGUAACUGACGCUGAGGCACGAAAGCGUGGGGAUCAAACAGGAUUAGAUACCCUGGUAGNCCACGCCGUAAACGAUGAAUGCUAGCUGUUAGCGAUAUACUGUUAGCGGCACAGAGAAAUCGUUAAGCAUUCCACCUGGGGAGUACGCCGGCAACGGUGAAACUCAAAGGAAUUGACGGGGGCCCGCACAAGCGGAGGAACAUGUGGUUUAAUUCGAUGAUACGCGAGGAACCUUACCUGGGCUUAAAUUGCAGUGGAAUAACGUGGAAACAUGUUAGCCUUCGGGCCGCUGUGAAGGUGCUGCAUGGUUGUCGUCAGCUCGUGCCGUGAGGUGUCGGCUUAAGUGCCAUAACGAGCGCAACCCUCAUCGAUAGUUACUAACAGGUUAAGCUGGGGACUCUAUCGAGACUGCCGACGUAAGUCGUGAGGAAGGUGGGGAUGACGUCAAAUCAGCACGGCCCUUACGUCCAGGGCUACACACGUGUUACAAUGGGGGGUACAAAGGGCAGCUACCUGGCGACAGGAUGCUAAUCUCAAAAACCUCUCUCAGUUCGGAUUGGAGUCUGCAACCCGACUCCAUGAAGCUGGAUUCGCUAGUAAUCGCGCAUCAGCCACGGCGCGGUGAAUACGUUCCCGGGCCUUGUACACACCGCCCGUCAAGCCAUGGGAGCCGGGGGGACCUGAAGUAUGCAACCGUAAGGAGCGUCCUAGGGUAAAACUGGUGACUGGGGCU